UGCCCGGUAACUCCUAUCCCUACCUCCUCGCGGUACUGGCCGGGGUACGAGUAACCUUAGGGAAGAUCGGGUAACCAAUCCCGUUGUGAAAUUUGGUCGUAUGCUGACAAGGAAGG
rnacentral:ribozyme from 1 species